UACAGGGAGGGCAAGCGUUGUUCGGAAUUACUGGGCGUAAAGGGCCUGUAGGCGGCCAACUAAGUCCGACGUGAAAUCCCCAAGCUUAACUUGGGAACUGCGUCGGAUACUGGAUGGCUUGAAUUCGGGAGAGGGAUGCAGAAUUCCAGGUGUAGCGGUGAAAUGCGUAGAUAUCUGGAGGAAUACCGGUGGCGAAGGCGGCAUCCUGGACCGACAUUGACGCUGAACGGCGAAAGCUAGGGGAGCAAACGGG
rnacentral:rRNA from 1 species